GGACCCGUAGCUCAGUGGUAGAGCGUGAGAUUCCAGUUUAAGCAGUAUCCUCAAGGUCAUCCGUUCAAUCCGGGUCGGGUUCA
rnacentral:tRNA from 1 species